AGUCAAGCGUCUUAGGCACCAAAUUGGUGGAUGGUUUUCUUUUGCCUGAACGAAGGUGAAGGCAAA
rfam:Rhizobium leguminosarum bv. viciae plasmid pRL12 complete genome, strain 3841